GACGAACGCUGGCGGCGUGCCUAAUACAUGCAAGUCGAGCGAGCGGAACUAACAGAUUUACUUCGGUAAUGACGUUAGGAAAGCGAGCGGCGGAUGGGUGAGUAACACGUGGGGAACCUGCCCCAUAGUCUGGGAUACCACUUGGAAACAGGUGCUAAUACCGGAUAAGAAAGCAGAUCGCAUGAUCAGCUUUUAAAAGGCGGCGUAAGCUGUCGCUAUGGGAUGGCCCCGCGGUGCAUUAGCUAGUUGGUAAGGUAAAGGCUUACCAAGGCGAUGAUGCAUAGCCGAGUUGAGAGACUGAUCGGCCACAUUGGGACUGAGACACGGCCCAAACUCCUACGGGAGGCAGCAGUAGGGAAUCUUCCACAAUGGACGCAAGUCUGAUGGAGCAACGCCGCGUGAGUGAAGAAGGUUUUCGGAUCGUAAAGCUCUGUUGUUGGUGAAGAAGGAUAGAGGUAGUAACUGGCCUUUAUUUGACGGUAAUCAACCAGAAAGUCACGGCUAACUACGUGCCAGCAGCCGCGGUAAUACGUAGGUGGCAAGCGUUGUCCGGAUUUAUUGGGCGUAAAGCGAGCGCAGGCGGAAGAAUAAGUCUGAUGUGAAAGCCCUCGGCUUAACCGAGGAACUGCAUCGGAAACUGUUUUUCUUGAGUGCAGAAGAGGAGGGCGGAACUCCAUGUGUAGCGGUGGAAUGCGUAGAUAUAUGGAAGAACACCAGUGGCGAAGGCGGCUCUCUGGUCUGCAACUGACGCUGAGGCUCGAAAGCAUGGGUAGCGAACAGGAUUAGAUACCCUGGUAGUCCAUGCCGUAAACGAUGAGUGCUAAGUGUUGGGAGGUUUCCGCCUCUCAGUGCUGCAGCUAACGCAUUAAGCACUCCGCCUGGGGAGUACGACCGCAAGGUUGAAACUCAAAGGAAUUGACGGGGGCCCGCACAAGCGGUGGAGCAUGUGGUUUAAUUCGAAGCAACGCGAAGAACCUUACCAGGUCUUGACAUCUAGUGCCAUUUGUAGAGAUACAAAGUUCCCUUCGGGGACGCUAAGACAGGUGGUGCAUGGCUGUCGUCAGCUCGUGUCGUGAGAUGUUGGGUUAAGUCCCGCAACGAGCGCAACCCUUGUUAUUAGUUGCCAGCAUUAAGUUGGGCACUCUAAUGAGACUGCCGGUGACAAACCGGAGGAAGGUGGGGAUGACGUCAAGUCAUCAUGCCCCUUAUGACCUGGGCUACACACGUGCUACAAUGGGCAGUACAACGAGAAGCGAGCCUGCGAAGGCAAGCGAAUCUCUGAAAGCUGUUCUCAGUUCGGACUGCAGUCUGCAACUCGACUGCACGAAGCUGGAAUCGCUAGUAAUCGCGGAUCAGCACGCCGCGGUGAAUACGUUCCCGGGCC
rnacentral:rRNA from 1 species